rnacentral:lncRNA from 1 species
GUAUUCAUAUGUUUCAUAUAUAUUUCAUAUAUACAUGCUAUUCAUGUAUAGCAUAUAUUUCAUAUAUGCUAAAUAUUACUGUAGAUGCAAAGAAGAACAUCUGCUUUUGAAAAUUACCAACAUCUCUAAGAUUGCAGAGCAUUAAAGUGCAGUAGAAUUUCCACUCAACAGUGAGCCACCCACACAGUUUUUCAGGCAUAUGCCUCAUAAAAAAGUUCCCAGAAUAUUAUUGUUCAUGGAAAGCUUCUGAAAAACUCUGAAAUAAAGAAAAUACAUUUACAUGUGGAUUGCUAUGUUUUGAGGUUCUACAAUAUGCAUCUAUAAAUUAAAUUCUUAUUCGAAAUAUUACUACCAGCUUGUGUAAGAGCAAUAUUUCAAAUGCCUCUCUUUCCUCAGCAAAAAUUUCCAUGCUAAUUACAAGACUCAGAGUUCAGCCAAGUUCCUUUACAUUCUUGUAUAUUUUGAAAGGAUAGUAUCACCAUACUUAUAUAAGCGGCUAUAUAUGUGAGAUAAUAAAAGGAUGAUUUUCCUCCUUAAUCUCUGUGCUUUAUAUUUUUCAGAAUGCUAAGUAUAUAAAACUGAAAAGGAAAUUGAAAAGGAAAAUGAUUCCUAUAGAAAUGCCUUCUUUUGCAAGAGAGAGGAUUUAAAAGAGAAUAAAAAAUUUUAAGCUUGGGCCAGCAUGAAUAUUAUGACUGUUUUAGAAGACCUUGCUUUCCACUUCCAUUUCCUGUUCCAGUGAGUUUGGAAAACGUUAGGAAGUACACUGCUAUCUUCAGAGGUUGACACCAACCAUUCUUCUGGAGAACCUUGCUGAGAGUCUCCUAUUUUAUAUUAAGGCACAAAGAUCCAACAGAAGCCUGGUCCACCACUACCUCACCCUGGGGCCAAGACCUGGGGCGUGGUACUCUAAUGUGAAUCAAUUGCAUUCAAGGUCACAAUUAGCAGCCUCCCUGUAUCCAUGGCCUUGCAGUGUGACCUUGCAGAUUCUUCCAUCAAGAGGUAAAUCUAUUUCCCUAAUUCCUUACUCCGUGAGUCUGAUCUAGCUUUGUGACUUGCUUUGGCCAAUAGAAUGUGGCACAGGUGACCCUAUGUCACUUGUGAGUGUGGGCCUCAGGGAGUCAUACAUGCUUCUGCUUUUUCUCUUGAAACCAUACCACCAUGUCACUGACAUGUGAAUAAAUCCGGGUCACAUUGGGAGUUAGGGAUUAAU